rnacentral:rRNA from 1 species
AGUGAACGCUGGCGGCGUGCCUAAUACAUGCAAGUCGAACGAAGUGGCGCACGGGUGAGUAAUAUAUAGUUAAUCUGCCCUACACAGAGGAACAACAGUUGGAAACGACUGCUAAUACCUCAUAUUGUAGGUUGAGACUAUAUCGUAUCAUCUAGUUGGUAAGGUAAUGGCUUACCAAGGGUAUGACGCGUAACUGGUCUACGAGGAUGAUCAGUCACAUUGGAAGUGAGACACGGUCCGAACUCCUACGGGAUGCAGCAGUAAGGAAUAGUGCGCAAUGGGGGAAACCCAGACGCAGCAACGCCGCGUAGAGGAUGACACUUUUCGGAGCAGAAACUCCUUUUAUCAGGAAAGCGGUACCUGAUGAAUAAGCACCGGCUAACUCCGUGCCAGCAGCCGCGGUAAUAC